rnacentral:rRNA from 1 species
AUCAACGCUGGCGGCGUGCCUAACACAUGCAAGUCGAACGAGAAAGUGGGAGCAAUCCUGCAAGUACAGUGGCGUACGGGUGAGUAACACGUGACUAACCUACCCUCGAGUGGGGAAUAACCUCGGGAAACCGGGGCUAAUACCGUAUAACAUCUACGGAUCAAAUGCGCAAGCAGCUUGAGGAGGGGGUCGCGGCUGAUUAGCUAGUUGGCGGGGUAACGGCCCACCAAGGCAAUGAUCAGUAGCCGGCCUGAGAGGGCGCACGGCCACACUGGAACUGAAACCACGGUCCAGACUCCUACGGGAGGCAGCAGUGGGGAAUUUUGCGCAAUGGGGGAAACCCUGACGCAGCAACGCCGCGUGGAGGAUGAAGCCCCUUGGGGUGUAAACUCCUUUCGAUCGGGACGAUUAUAAAAGAAACCGGAUGAAGAAGCACCGGCUAACUCUGUGCCAGCAGCCGCGGUAAUACAGAGGGUGCAAGCGUUGUUCGGAAUUAUUGGGCGUAAAGGGUGCGUAGGCGGUGCGGUAAGUCUUCUGUGAAAUCUCCGGGCUCAACCCGGAGCCUGCAGAGGAAACUGCCGUGCUGGAGUAUGGGAGAAGAUGAGUGGAAUUCCCGGUUGUAGCGGUGAAAUGCGUAAGAUAUCGGGAGGAACCACCUGGUGGCGAAAGCGGCUCACUGGACCAUUACUGACCGCUGAUGCACGAAAGCUAGGGGAGCAAACAGGAUUAGAUACCCUGGUAGUCCUAGCCCUAAACUGAUGAUCGCUCCAUGUGACAGGUACCCAAUCCUGUCUUGUGCCGGAGCUAACGCGUUAAGCGAUCCGCCUGGAGAUUACGGUCGCAAGGCUGAAACUCAAAGGAAUUGACGGGGGCCCGCACAAGCGGUGGAGCAUGUGGUUCAAUUCGACGCAACGCGAAGAACCUUACCUGGGCUCGAAGCGUAGUGGACUGAGGUAGAAAUAUCUCUUUCCCGCAAGGGACUGCUACGUAGGUGCUGCAUGGCUGUCGUCAGCUCGUGUCGUGAGAUGUUGGGUUAAGUCCCGCAACGAGCGCAACCCUUAUUGUCAGUUGCCACCAUUCAGUUGGGCACUCUGGCGAAA